rnacentral:rRNA from 1 species
GGUUAAGCGACUAAGCGUACACGGUGGAUGCCCUGGCAGUCAGAGGCGAUGAAGGACGUGCUAAUCUGCGAAAAGCGCCGGCGAGGUGAUAUGAACCUUUGACCCGGCGAUGUCCGAAUGGGGAAACCCAGUGCAAUCCGUUGCACUAUCGUUAACUGAAUACAUAGGUUAACGAGGCGAACC